UGCCCAAUGGUGUAAUUGGCAACACGACUGACUCUGGAUCAGUAAAGUCCAGGUUCGAACCCUGGUUGGGCAA
rnacentral:tRNA from 4 species